rnacentral:rRNA from 1 species
UAGGGAAUCUUCCACAAUGGACGCAAGUCUGAUGGAGCAACGCCGCGUGAGUGAAGAAGGUUUUCGGAUCGUAAAGCUCUGUUGUUGGUGAAGAAGGAUAGAGGCAGUAACUGGUCUUUAUUUGACGGUAAUCAACCAGAAAGUCACGGCUAACUACGUGCCAGCAGCCGCGGUAAUACGUAGGUGGCAAGCGUUGUCCGGAUUUAUUGGGCGUAAAGCGAGCGCAGGCGGAAUGAUAAGUCUGAUGUGAAAGCCCACGGCUCAACCGUGGAACUGCAUCGGAAACUGUCAUUCUUGAGUGCAGAAGAGGAGAGUGGAAUUCCGUGUGUAGCGGUGGAAUGCGUAGAUAUAUGGAGGAACACCAGUGGCGAAGGCGGCUCUCUGGUCUGCAACUGACGCUGAGGCUCGAAAGCAUGGGUAGCGAACAGG